GCGCGGAUGGUGAAAUUGGCGAGACACGCUAGAUUUAGGGCUCUAGUGCUUUACAGCGUGAGGGUUCAAGUCCCUCUUCGCGCACCA
rnacentral:tRNA from 1 species